rnacentral:rRNA from 1 species
GAUGAACGCUGGCGGCGUGCCUAAUACAUGCAAGUAGAACGCUGAAGGAGGAGCUUGCUCUUCUGGAUGAUUUGCGAACGGGUGAGUAACGCGUAGGUAACCUGCCUGGUAGCGGGGGAUAACUAUUGGAAACGAUAGCUAAUACCGCAUGACAACAGUUAUUGCAUGAUAACUGUAUAAAAGGGGCAACUGCUCCACUACCAGAUGGACCUUCGUUGUAUUAGCUAGUUGGUGACGUAACGGCUCACCAAGGCGACGAUACAUAGCCGACCUGAGGGGGUGGUCGGCCACACCGGGACCGGGACACGGCCCCGACUCCUUCGGGGGGCAGCCGUAAGGAAUUUUCGGCAAUGGGCCGAAGUCUGACCGGGCAACGCCGCGGGGGUUAAGGAAGUUUUCCGAACGUUAAGCUCUGUUGUUAGAGAAGAACGAGUGUGAGAGUUGAAAGUUCACACUGUGACGGUAUCUUACCAGAAAGGGACGGCUAACUACGUG